rnacentral:rRNA from 1 species
UACGGAAGGGGCAAGCGUUGUUCGGAAUCAUUGGGCGUAAAGGGCGCGUAGGUGGUUUUGUAUGUCUACCGUGAAAGCGUACGGCUCAACCGUAUUUUGUCGGUAGAAACUGCAGGACUUGAGGCUGGGAGGGGCUGGUGGAAUUCCCUGUGUAGCGGUGAAAUGCGUAGAGAUGGGGGAGAACACUCGUGGCGAAGGCGGCCAGCUAGACCAGUUCUGACACUGAGGCGCGACAGCGUGGGGAGCAAACAGG